CACAUGCUGAGUGAGCCUACAGGAUUCCCUGGAGUGGCCCUGGACAUCUUUGAGAUCUGGCUCUGAUUGCUUCUGUAUGGAAAAUGUAACACAUUGCAAUGAACUUCAAGAGGUCCUGCAUUAGAAAACUUCUGGGAAUAUGGUGGGGGAUGCUGAAUAUCUUAGAAACAGGGUUUCCGAGACUUGCUAUCCAGACAGUGAAAUAUAGCAAUGUGAAGAAGAGAAGAAGGAGCAAGUGGGUCCCCAGGACCCAGCAAGGAUCUGAAGUGGUAACUGAAGUCCACAGGGAGAGUGAAGAGGGAAACCUCAAAGCAGCAAAGGAGAUGGCAAGUGGCAGUUUUACCUGAGCCCUGACUCAUUGUGUGGAAGGAGCAGCUCAAACCUGCAGACCCAUGGUGACUACUGCUGACCUCAGAGGCCUCCAUGGAGAAACACACCAGUGGAACUGAGCAGUGGACACAGAGGACUGCAGUGACUGAGUGCUGGUGGUGACUGAACCCAGUGCUUUGCAUGUGCUACAUAAGGACUCUACCACUGUACUUUAUAAAACAAACUAGAUAAGUCCAUUUAUUUCUUUUUUAUUUCUAGGCUUCCAGUCAUACAUCUCUCCUCCCUUCCCCUGAAUCUAAAUUGUAUGUGUAAUCUUCAAGAGUUUUUAUUUCAUCUGGAAUCAAUUUUUUAUAGUAAAUGAUGUAAUGUAUGAAUGUAAUUUUAUUUUCAUCCAGAUAAAUAGCUAGAGUUUCCAUUUUAAUUAUUUCUUAUUUAUUUGCUUAUUUAUGGACAGCUCUAACUAUGUAGUUUAAUCUGGGCUCAAACUCAAGACCCUCCUGCUUUUCCCUCUUCUG